rnacentral:rRNA from 1 species
GACGAACGCUGGCGGCGUGCUUAACACAUGCAAGUCGAACGGAAAGGCCCUGCUUUUGUGGGGUGCUCGAGUGGCGAACGGGUGAGUAACACGUGAGUAACCUGCCCUUGACUUUGGGAUAACUUCAGGAAACUGGGGCUAAUACCGGAUAGGAGCUCCUGCUGCAUGGUGGGGUUUGGAAAGUUUCGGCGGUUGGGGAUGGACUCGCGGCUUAUCAGCUUGUUGGUGGGGUAGUGGCUUACCAAGGCUUUGACGGGUAGCCGGCCUGGGAGGGUGACCGGCCACAUUGGGACUGAGAUACGGCCCAGACUCCUACGGGAGGCAGCAGUGGGGAAUAUUGCACAAUGGGCGGAAGCCUGAUGCAGCAACGCCGCGUGCGGGAUGACGGCCUUCGGGUUGUAAACCGCUUUCGCCUGUGACGAAGCGUGAGUGACGGUCAUGGGUAAAGAAGCACCGGCUAACUACGUG